rnacentral:lncRNA from 1 species
UUGGGGGUCUGGUCGAUCAGAGCAAGCAGGGGGCGACCCCACUCCUUCAAAAACCCUAGAACUUCAGAAAUCUUGCAAAUUGAAGGUUCAAUCCAAGUUCAAAUCGAAUUCUAAACAUAGAUUCUUGAUCCUCAUCACAAGGGGAUUACAAGUUUGACGCGUAACAAGCUAGGUGGAAGCUUGAUGAGGGAGCGGGUCGAACGAAUCAAGAAGGAAAGGAAAAGCGUAGUUCGGAUGCGAGGUACUUUUUGGAUGCCGGAGGACGAUCAAGCUCAAUGAAGAACUGAACACGAUAAAGACACAUGCUUCCGCACAUUGCCUCGUUGUAAAUUUUUAACGACCAACCCGAUCACGUUAUGUAGAAUAACUUAUGAUUUGUAAAAGUUUUAACAAACCCGUAUUUCCGAUAUAUAUGUAAUCUUAAUUACAUGAUUGUUUUCGUAAAAUAUACGUUAAACCAUGGAUUAUAAGAACGGGUGUUACAGUUGUUUUUGUACUGAAUGGUUUUUUUAUCUACUGCUGAAUGGUGUUAUUUUUUGUGCUGAAUGGUGUUAUUUUUGUGCUGA